UACGUAGGGUGCAAGCGUUGUCCGUAAUUAUUGGGCGUAAAGAGCUCGUAGGCGGUUUGUCGCGUCUGCUGUGAAAACCCGAGGCUCAACCUCGGGCCUGCAGUGGGUACGGGCAGACUAGAGUGCGGUAGGGGAGAUUGGAAUUCCUGGUGUAGCGGUGGAAUGCGCAGAUAUCAGGAGGAACACCAAUGGCGAAGGCAGAUCUCUGGGCCGUAACUGACGCUGAGGAGCGAAAGCAUGGGGAGCAAACAGG
rnacentral:rRNA from 1 species